GUUGGUUUUUCCCGUUUAAAUGGUUUAACAUUAGUAUUUUUUGGGCCCUUUAUAGCGUGCUGUUCGGUGUGAGCCAAGGCUCCGUAUUGAAGGCCGUACAUUGGCCUAUAAUGGUUUACUUUUAUAGAUUUUUACGUUGAUGGAGAGUUGUCUCAUUGGCACUCAUACCACAUCUUCCUAUAUAUAUAUUGACACAUCUGUGUCAUCUCUGCUAUCGUUCACUAACAUAUCGUCAUUUGAGCUUUAUGGACCAGCAAUAGGUUGUAAUUUAGGUUUGAUUGGUCUUUCCGACAUCUCUUGAUGACAAGUAUUAUACUACUUAUGUGUAUAGUAUCAGUUUAAUUGAAGUCUGGAGCUGGCAUGUCAGUUAACUGCUAGUAGUCUGUUGUUAUUUAUGUAUUAUUGUCAUUUUGUUUAUUUUCUUUAGUCACAUCUUCUGACAUCAGACUCGGACUUCUCUUGAACUGAAUUUUAAUGUGCGUAUUGUUCUGCGAUUACUUUUCUU
rnacentral:lncRNA from 1 species